UAGAAAUAGGAGCUGAUGUAUAUUCAGUUCAGUGAGUCUUCAGUCAAGUAUAAUGUUCCUAUUAACAUCUACUUUGCUGUUAAUUUCCACAGGUGUGUGUGAAUCUCACUACCAGCAAACGUUGACUUGCCCAUACAGUUCUAAGGAUAAAAGCCUUUACAGGGUGUGGUGCAAGAGAGACCCCAAAGACCACGACUGCUGCACCGGCUUCGCCUUCACCGCCAAGGAAAGAAACUUGGAAGAUGGGAAUAUCCGUGUGCAGGACGACGGCAACGCCUUCAGCAUCUCCGUGGCGAAAUUGUCAGAUGGUGACGGGGUGUAUUGGUGUGGACUCAAGAACGGUACCAACAUUGUUAAGCUGGCUGAGGGCCAACUCUACACCAGUGAGUCUAUGAGCUCUUUGUACUUCUCUUUAGGUUUGCUUUAAAUUUCUUUCGUAGAAUGCUCUUACAUGCAUGGGUAAUUAGGCCCUAGAGCCAGUCAGACAGACUAAGCAGUCAGCGGAAAUGAUGUCCCAGCAGGUGAUGUGGUUUUGAUUCCCUUUUAGCCCCGCCAGCUUUUGCCUGGUACGUCCUUCGCUGGGUGAUCUUCUUCCUGCUGUUUGCGGCAGUGGUGGGGACUUCGGUGUAUUCCAACAGUGAGUACUUGGUUGUUGAUGACUUGGUGAAUACUGCAAGCUUGUGUGCCUGCUCACGGAGUGAUGCUACAGUGCCUUUUCGUCUCGUGGGUUAAAAGUGGACAUGCGUUGGCAUGCCCAUACUUCCUGAAAACACCUAUGCAUACCAGAAACUAACAAUUCAAUUCCCCUUCUUUUAUAGGGAAAGACAGACAGGGAGAGGUAAGUUCCUGAAAGUCGUGCAUUCGGCAAGUUUUCCUCAGUCAACAAUCACAAAUUGAUAUGAUUCUUAAGGUUUACGAUAAGCUUCUUUCAAAUCUACCUAAUCACCAUUUGUGUUUGAUUUAAAAUAUUAAUCCUAAUCUGUGCAUGUUUUAGAUUGACAAAGUAUAUGCAAGUGUGGUCAUGGAAGGCUGACUGAAGACUGUUCAAUAUAUGCAGGCACAACUGACAAUGAAGCACAAAUCAGCUCAGGAUUUUCUACAGAAUCAUUUAAAAAAAAAAAAAAAAAAACUUUUAAAGUCUAGUACUAAACUUCAUCUGUCUGGAAAAAAUGCGCCAAUAAGUGACUACAAAAAUUAUUGUAUUUUUUAGGUAAAUAUAAAGGAAUAAAUAUUUGCUCAUACAUUUGUCAGUGAGAUGAAAUUGUUUACACCACCUAGUGGAGAAAAUAUUGUAUUGUAUAAAAAUUUUGGUACAACCUUACACCAUCUGGUGGAGAAAGUAUUUUCUAGAAAGAGUAUGACUAGAUCUAGUAAGAUGGUCUAAUCAUAUCGCUUUUGUUAUUUUAUGUUUAGACUUUGAUCAGCAAAUCUUUGUUCAGUACCUUGUGUAACUGUACUUACCACAAGCAAUACUGGAUAAUAAAGAAAAACACAGACGAUCUGGAGGAAAAUCCUCGCUAUAUUUCUUUUUUUUCCUUUAUAUUUCUCACAGUUUAUGGUUGUUGGGGAGUGUGUGUGUUCCAAGACAAAAAAUACCUUUUGCUUUUAAAAGUGCUGAAGCCAUUAUCUUUUACAUGGGUGGGUUGUGUUCAUUAAUUGCUGUUAAGUAACUCAGAACUGAAUUUGAGAUGCAUACAGCAAUGCACUCUAAAUCUGAGCUCGUUACUGCAAUACAAAUAUGGAGUAGCACAUUUUUUUCUUAGCAGUCAUACACACUAUUCACAACAUAACCUAAAAGUGGCAAACAAUUUUAAAAGUACGAUUUAAAAAGAUUUACAGUUGAAGAGACGAGUUCAUUGCACUUAACGUUUGGUUUCAAGUGAAAGGUAAAUAAAAUAGCAAUAAUACCAAUAUUAAACACUACUAAUAAACAUAAAAGAUUUUGCAGCAAAUCUGCUAAACAUCUAACUGAAAAAGUGAAACUCACAAUGAUGCUAUACUGUGCUAACAAGGGAGUGAGGAAAGGAGUCGACCAAAGAUUAUCGUCUAUUGCAACCCAUUCAAUCGCAGCUGCAUGGUGAGGUUCUUUAUGACCUGUGUAGUUGGCAGGAGGUGCAGUAGUGCUUCAAAACUAGUAGAACUGUGUGUGUGUGUGUGUGCGUGCGUGUAACUACGUGUGCAGGGCAUGCAGUCUCAUAGCAUCCUCAAAAGACUGAAGAGCUAUUUAAGUUUCUUUUGAAUAUGCGGUAGCUAACAACCUGAGAACUACUCUGGACCUCCUGGAUUUCCAUAUUAGAUAUAUUUUACUAACCUAUGUUAAAUGUACAUGAGCAAGCAACAGAGAAACACAGGCCAACUCAGUUAUAACUCAAAAAAAGAUUUUCUGACUGAAGCUUGGAGUCAUUUCUGAACAAGAAAUACAACGUAAUUUACAAAGACCUAAUUUAUAACCUGCAGGACGUAUUAAGCGUUACAUCCCAAAAUAAGCCACUCAAGGAACCAAUAUGUUUACACAGGUGGUAUACAGCAUUUUACCUACGCAAUACACCAAAAUGAAAUGUACAGAAAAUAACCUGGAGUCAUGCACCAAGGUUUGAAGAAACACGCUCUUUACAUAAGGACAGUUUAUACAUCAAUGCACUUUAGAGCAAAGAACUGUGGUUUGUUUUGGGAGUGACUAUGAAAAGAUGACAUAAAUGAAGCAAAAUGUUAAAAAAAAAAAAGGGUGGGGGAGUAGGGGUUGAGAGGAUAAGGUAGAUAAUCCAGCAGGCAGGUAGCCGGUCAAUUUCAGGAAGUUGUUCCAUGCAGGACGCAGCAGUGGUCAGUAUCUUCACUUAUUGCAGUUGGAGUGCUGGGAAAAAUCUGCCCUCUGUGGUGUAAAAGUGAAGCGAACUAACAUUUCCUGUGUUUCCAACAAUAAUAUUCUCUGUCUCUCUCUGUCUCCCUCUCUCUCACACACACACACACAAUCACACACACAAUCAUUACAAGCCGAGUACUGCGCUGCUAUGAAACGCCUUUGUUUGCCAGGGGCAUGCUGAGGCGAAGAGCACAGAUACACACUGCGUGGCCUUCUGAUCCCGCGUAGUCCUCUAAAGCUCCUCGUAGUCUCCCUCCUCCCUGGGGACAGACCCUUCCCCUCCGGCCAGGAAGGCCUCCAGGUCGUCCAGCUCCCCUGCCUUCUUGCUCCGGGACUUUUUCUUCUUCUUCUCCUUCUCCUCAGCAGCUCCCGUCACCUCCUCUCGCUCCUUUUUCUUGUGUUUGUGCUUCUUUUUGCUACUUUUCUCUUCAUCCUGGAGGAGAGUUAAUGAUGCUCCUUAUACACAGCAGGGCAGAACGUGGGGAUGGGACCCUUUCACUUAGAAUUUGAUUGUUAGAUUGACUCUGGUCAUAGGUGCUAUAACCACUAGCCUUUACUGUUAUACUAUGGUACAACUGCAUUGAGUACAAAACAUAAAACAAGAGAAACCCAUUACUGACUGGUACUGAUACAAACAACAACAAAAACAACAACAACAAAUUCCCUCCACAUGCAUUGCCAAGGGAUAGACAAUAAAGAUACUAGAACCUACUGCACAUAGUAGUCUGAGGCCUUAAAACAGGAAAAUGACUGUACUAAUAACCAAACCAGAGAUCACAGAAGCACGUUCUGAUUCUGAACAAGUGCACAGAAAGGUUUCACUUAUUUUACCUCUUUAGUCUUCUUUUUCUUUUUCUUCUUUUCCUUCGCUCCAUGCCUGCUUUCUUUCUCUGCAAAGAGACAGAGCUAGCUCACUUUCCAGCUCAUGAAACG
ensembl:lncRNA